CCCUUAGAUGUUCUGGGCCGCACGCGUGCUACACUGAACGGUUCAAUGGGUAAGGUAGUGCGAAAGCAUGACCUAAUCUCGAAAUCCGUUCGUGCUGGGGAUAGAAGCUUGCAAUUAUCCUUCUUGAACGAGGAAUACCUUGUAAGCGUGAGUCAUCAUCUCACGCUGAAUACGUCCCUGCCCUUUGUACACACCGCCCGUCGCUCCUACCGAUUGAGUGUUCCGGUGAGGCUUUGGGAGAAUGGCCUCAACAUGAGUUUAUCGUGUUUUGCCGUUUGAACUUAGUCAAACCUUAUCACUUAGAGGAAGGAGAAGUCGUAACG
rnacentral:rRNA from 1 species